rnacentral:rRNA from 1 species
AUUGAACGCUGGCGGCAUGCCUUACACAUGCAAGUCGAACGGUAACAGGUCUUCGGAUGCUGACGAGUGGCGAACGGGUGAGUAAUACAUCGGAACGUGCCUAGUAGUGGGGGAUAACUACUCGAAAGAGUGGCUAAUACCGCAUGAGAUCUACGGAUGAAAGCAGGGGAUCGCAAGACCUUGUGCUACUAGAGCGGCCGAUGGCAGAUUAGGUAGUUGGUGGGAUAAAAGCUUACCAAGCCGACGAUCUGUAGCUGGUCUGAGAGGACGAUCAGCCACACUGGGACUGAGACACGGCCCAGACUCCUACGGGAGGCAGCAGUGGGGAAUUUUGGACAAUGGGCGCAAGCCUGAUCCAGCUAUGCCGCGUGCAGGAUGAAGGCCUUCGGGUUGUAAACUGCUUUUGUACGGAACGAAAAGCCCUGGGUUAAUACCCUGGGGUCAUGACAGUACCGUAAGAAUAAGCACCGGCCAACUACGUGCCAGCCGCCGCCGUAAAAC